rnacentral:tRNA from 1 species
AGGGUUAUAGUUAAAUUAACAUUUGUUUUGCAUACAAAAAAUAUUGAAAUAUCAUCAAUUUUCCUUA